UCUACGGGGGGCAGCAGUGGGGAAUAUUGGGCAAUGGGCGCAAGCCUGACCCAGCAACGCCGCGUGAAGGAAGAAGGCUUUCGGGUUGUAAACUUCUUUUAAGGGGGACGAACAAAUGACGGUACCCCUUGAAUAAGCCACGGCUAACUACGUGCCAGCAGCCGCGGUAAUACGUAGGUGGCAAUCGUUAUCCGGAUUUAUUGGGGGUAAAGGGCGUGUAGGCGGGAGCGCAAGUCAGAUGUGAAAACUCAGGGCUCAACCCUGAGCCUGCAUUUGAAACUGUGUUUCUUGAGUGCUUGAGAGGCAAUCGGAAUUCCGGGUGUAGCGGUGAAAUGCGUAGAUAUACGGAGGAACACCAGUGGCGAAGGCGGAUUGCUGGACAGUAACUGACGCUGAGGCGCGAAAGCGUGGGGAGCAAACAGGAGUAGAUACCCCGGUAGUC
rnacentral:rRNA from 1 species